CGUGCACGUAAGAGACGUCUCUCUGCACAUUCGCAUUUUCAGAAAUGGCUGACGACGGAGCUGAUAAGAAGCGCGGCAGGCCGAAGAAGUCCGAGACUGGCGAAAAGCGCGCCAAGGAGGAAUCCUCCAACGACGAGCCGAAAGCAAAGAGGGGGCGUGGUCGCCCCAAGGGCAGCAGCAAAAAGGCAAAGAGGGCUGCUGCCAAGGCUGCCGCCACCAGCCCCAAGAAGUCCCCCGGACGUGGACGCCCCCGAAAGGCGGAGGCCGACAAGGACUCUGGGUCCGAUGACGCCGGAGGAGACCAGUCCGACUGAGUGGUUCUAGCGGUUUGUCCUCAUUACUCGCUGGAGUUUUCGUAGUUGACGUCAACACGCCGAAUCAUUGCAAGGCUCAUCACGUUCUUCUGUUUCCACUCCCUCGUGUUGGUUCAUCUUAAGUUUUAGCCAGCAUCGUAUAUCACUGCUCCACGGCAUUUGCUCCCCCAUGUGUGUCCCCUCUGUACCAUUGUGCUCCGUUUCCAACCAAAUAAAAUGAUCUGUCUUUCGACGA